rnacentral:rRNA from 1 species
AUGGAGAGGCUGGGCAACGCGCUUGGCACACUGGCAUUCACGUGGGCCACCGUCGUCCUGCUCGGCGGCUACGCCAGUGAACUCCACUCCGAUGAAGAUUUUAUGUUCGCGACAAUCUUAAUUUUCUUAGAGGCCGCAAGGAUGUUCAGCCGCGACAAGAACAGACUAGAUUAUCGACUGUUCUUUAAUACCCGUGGAGCAUUUAGGCCUCUUGGCUGGAGUGGACUGAUUAUAAUUGCAUGUUUUUGUGGUAUUCUGGAAAUCAUCUGGAAGAAGUAUCUGAUCACUAGCAUGAUGAUCUUAAUGAGUCUAAUACUAGUUGGACUUGUCCGAUUAUUGUCUGAGGUGUCACCAAGAGUAUGGAAUCAGAUGCGUUAUGCCGCAUCAGUAUGGAGCCCAUUAGUUGCAAUCAUAUUGCUAGCUCCCUCUAUAUCAGAACACAAAUCAAUGAUUAAAUGGGCAGUGUUUUCGGUACUACUUGUGGCAGUCCUCGUAGCAACAAUAAGUAACCCACGCUUCACAAGAAUCAGUAAACUAGUGGGCAGUGUUCUAGGCAGAAAACAAGAAUUUUGGCGCAACGUCAUUAUAAACGUGUGCAUGAUUGCUGCUCUAGGUAUGCUGGUGUACAUGCUUAAGGAUUAUAAAAGAUAUACGAUGAUCACAAUCGAAGUAUGUGCACUAGUGAUAGUGUCAUUUGGCAACUUACAGAUUCCAGCAGCAGUUGUGCGGGUCAUUCUAGCAUUAAUUGGGCUUAUACCACAUGAUACUAAUGAGCCAGCAUAUGAUGAAAGCUUGGUUGGCCAAAAAAACAUUAAAGCGUCUCUAGGAAUCUUCUAUGGGAUGGUGCUUGGACAAGGAACACUCUAUGCUAUGGCUUGCGUGUUUGAAUUCUUUUCUUUCAUCCCUCGAAGAUCCCUCGUCCGCAGUGGUGGAUUUAAAGGUCAGUGGGGAAUGAAAUCUGUCAAUAUGUAUUACGCAUAUGCGUCAGAGAAAUGCAUGCAAGGGGGUGUGCUUGCUCCAAAGAAGAUCAACCUCAGCACCUUUGCCAUGGAUUCUGUGAACUCGGAUUCAUCCAAGAAUCAGUUCGCCGGGAUACGAAUGAUGCACAACUUUCUGCAAAGUCAACCAACCAAGGCACAACUCCUUUCAAAACUCGCCACUUCUACCAAGACGAUGGCCAGAAUAAUCAGAAUGUUGGAUUGGACAAGUCCAAAGGAUACAGCUAUCAGAUUAUAUGCCGCAAAGGUCACUGCAGAGCUUGCAAAUAACCUCCGUGCAGGCACUAUCCCUGGUACAAUGCAGCUUGUAUCUGCACUUCUUGACGCUGAUCGCAGACUGGAAAGAGGAAACCCACUCCUAGACACUGAUGAUGAACACGAGCGAAGACAAGAUCCAGUUCUGAAUACAGAAGAUAGCAGAGAGGUGUCUGAUAACCAAUUCCAAACACAAGGUCAACUUCGGGACACUGAUAUCCUGCUGGAAACAGAAAGCAGAUCAACCCAAGAAGUUGGCAUGAACAAACAGAACUCGUGCGUGCUCAGAUGCUGGCAGCAUAUUUCAGAAUUCUGGUCAAUACCCAAGGAACAGCUGCGGACAGACCACGAUCUUCUACCGGCACUGGCCAUGUCAAUUAUUGAAAGUCUUGCUGGUGUUGACCAGGACAACUGUGUGGAGAUCAGCAAAGCAGCUGACCUCAUCCCGAAGAUCAUAAGAUUCACAAUCUGCAGAAGUGACACGAUGAAUACCAAGGCACAACAAGAGAUCCUGCUCAAAUCAUCACUGAAGGUGCUGCAAAGGCUCACAAGCAUUGGCGGGGAACCCGGCAUCACACUGCGGUACAAGAUAUCAAAACACCCCUUCCUAUUGAGUAACCUCUCAGGUAUCCUUGGAGACGACAAGAGCAGCCAGAUAUCGAGAAAGUUGGUGGCGGGAAUCCUCAGAAACAUUGCCGUUGAUGAGAAAACAAGGCAGGAAAUUGGUCGCUUCCAAACAAUCAUCACCAAGCUGAUGCAGGCAUUUCUCUACUCAGAAGGAACCAUUAGUACCAAUGAUGAUCACCUGUCACGGAAGGUCGCCGGGCAAGCAUUGGCAAUGCUGACAAUACAAAGUGCCCAAAACUGUUUGGUUAUAUUGAAGGAGCCAUGGUUCAUGAAGGAACUCAAAAUCUUGAUCCAUGAUAAAAGGUACAUAUAUGUGGCGGCAAGCCUGCUGCGUAAUCUGUGCCUGCAUGCUAGAUCCGAGCUCAGAGAGUCAGACCUGAAGGAACUAUCUCAUACCUUGAGAGAGGUGUUGGAAAGAAUACUGGACGCGGAUGGGGCAGAACUAGAGAUCCUGAUUGGGCUUAGUUCACAGAUAUGUAAAGUUAUUCCUGAAGACUUUACCCGAGAACUAGACGCUGGUCAGAUUAAGCAGAGAUUUGCCAAGAGGCUUGUCGACACACUAAAAGCAAACAUGAAACCUAGUGCUCAUAGUCCUGGGAUCAGGAGAGUGAUACUCGAGCAAGUCAUACACAUGAUGGAGUAUAAUUCUUGCUAUGCAGAUUGCUUCAACACAUUCGGGAUGACAGAUGCACUGUCAAUGGUAGAACAAACACCAUCAAAGGCUGAGAACUACAGGCUUUUCUUGGGCGAUGAAGGAUUCAUGGAGUACAGCAUGCCUCUCUCCGAUCUUGUGGCAAGAGCAAAAGAACUUAUGGGUUUUGAGUUUUGA